GUGCUGGGAUCUGGCUGAGACAUCUGUCACCCUACUGAUCGCCAGGGUUGGCCAUGGUUGAUUCUGCUGAUCUGGCUGGCUAGGCGGGUGUCCCCUUCCUCCAUCCAUGUGCGUCCCUUCCGAAGCUGCAGCUGCGUGCUUGGUGGAAGAGGACGACCUUCCCCAAAUAGAGGAGGACCAGUCUUUGGUCAAGGGUAGCUGUGCUCCCUUGCUAGAACCUCCAAACAAGCUCUCAAGGUUCAAGUGCUGGGAUCGAAAAUAUGAGUCACAAUGCCUGUCAGAGGAGUCUUUUU
ensembl:misc_RNA 7SK 7SK RNA